UGGCGGACGGGUGAGUAAUGUCUGGGAAACUGCCUGAUGGAGGGGGAUAACUACUGGAAACGGUAGCUAAUACCGCAUAACGUCGCAAGACCAAAGAGGGGGACCUUCGGGCCUCUUGCCAUCGGAUGUGCCCAGAUGGGAUUAGCUUGUUGGUGGGGUAACGGCUCACCAAGGCGACGAUCCCUAGCUGGUCUGAGAGGAUGACCAGCCACACUGGAACUGAGACACGGUCCAG
rnacentral:rRNA from 1 species